UUGCAGAACGACGGGUGGAUUCAUAAAGUUGGUGCUUACCGAGCAGAAAAAUUAUUUUCUUUGUAAAUUUGCAUAAUUUUUAUCCUACUGCUAACUUCUCCUCUAUAUUCUCUUCUCCGGCAUGCCCAAGGUUCCAUAAUGUAGCAGGAGAAAAAGAACAUAGUGCAUACAUGUCAGAAGAGUUUUUUGAUGCAAAGCUCACACAUCUUGGCUGGCAGCAGUCUGUUUUCUUAUCUGAAUGGAUAAGCCAGCCAACGAGCAGUCAAUCAAUGGCGGAGAAAAGUUUAAAAUACGUAAUCCUAGGCAGUAACGCUGGUGUAAGUUGCGCAAUUCUGAUAUUAUCGUACUCUAAUCGAAGUUUGAUGUAGGACGAAGAUACCGAAUCCAUUGUAUAUCUUAAUUAUGUUAUGCUCAGGUGCUAUCAUAUAUCAUUAUUUGCGUUGCAGUUGUCGAGGAAUGAGAGAUUGAAUUGGGUUUCCAACUAAUGUCAAACAUAUUGCACAUUUUGGCUUCAUAUGACUGAAAACUUCUUUCCUUCCACCCUAAUUUUUGCUAACUCCACCAAAAUGAAUUGAUGCAAUAUUGUAUUAUUAUUUUAGGGUUAUGCUGCUAGAGAGUUCUAGCAAC